CAUUUACUCCCUCCGUCUGAAAUUACGUGUCGCAGAAAUGGCUAAAAAUGGAUGUAUCUAGAACUAAAAUAAGUUCAGAUACAUCCAUUUAUCCGACAAGUAUUUCCGGACGGAGGGAGUAACUG
rfam:Triticum aestivum genome assembly, contig: Triticum_aestivum_CS42_TGACv1_scaffold_227841_3B